rnacentral:rRNA from 1 species
CCCUUAGAUGUUCUGGGCCGCACGCGCGCUACACUGAUGCAUUCAACGAGCCUAUCCUUGACCGACAGGUCCGGGUAAUCUUUGAAUCUGCAUCGUGACGGGGAUAGAUUAUUGCAAUUAUUAAUCUUCAACGAGGAAUGCCUAGUAGGCGCAAGUCAUCAGCUUGCGUCGAUUACGUCCCUGCCCUUUGUACACACCGCCCGUCGCUCCUACCGAUUAAGUGAUCCGGUGAAUAGUUCGGACUGCUGCAAUGCUUGGAUCCCGAGAAUUGCGGCGAAAGUUUAGUGAACCUUAUCACUUAGAGGAAGGAGAAGUCGUAACA